GCCGUCGUGGCGCAAUGGUAGCGCAUCACCUUCCUACUCACGUGAUCCUCUUUACGAGUGGAGGCAGGUGGGGGUUGCGGGUUCGACCCCCGUCGACGGUA